GAUGAAGAACGUAGCGAAAUGCGAUAAGUAAUGUGAAUUGCUGAAUUCAGUGAAUCAUCGAAUCUUUGAACGCACAUUGCGCCCGCCAGUAUUCUGGCGGGCAUGCCUGUUCGAGCGUCAUUACAACCCUCAGGCCCCCGGGCCUGGCGUUGGGGAUCGGCGGAGCCCCCCGUGGGCACACGCCGUCCCCCAAAUGCAGUGGCGGUCCCGCCGCAGCUUCCAUCGCGUAGUAGCUAACACCUCGCGACUGGAGAGCGGCGCGGCCACGCCGUAAAACACCCAACUCUUCUGAAGUUGACCUCGAAUCAGGUAGGAAUACCCGCUGAACUUAAGCAUAUCAAUAAGCGGAGGA
rnacentral:misc_RNA from 1 species